rnacentral:rRNA from 1 species
GAGUUUGAUCAUGGCUCAGAUUGAACGCUGGCGGCAUGCCUUACACAUGCAAGUCGAACGGCAGCACGGGAGCUUGCUCCUGGUGGCGAGUGGCGAACGGGUGAGUAAUGCAUCGGAACGUAUCCUGGAGUGGGGGAUAACGUAGCGAAAGUUACGCUAAUACCGCAUAUUCUGUGAGCAGGAAAGCGGGGGACCUUCGGGCCUCGCGCUCUUGGAGCGGCCGAUGUCGGAUUAGCUAGUUGGUGAGGUAAAGGCUCACCAAGGCGACGAUCCGUAGCAGGUCUGAGAGGAUGAUCUGCCACACUGGAACUGAGACACGGUCCAGACUCCUACGGGAGGCAGCAGUGGGGAAUUUUGGACAAUGGGGGCAACCCGUGAUCCAGCCAUGCCGCGUGAGUGAAGAAGGCCUCGGUU